GACGAACGCUGGCGGCGUGCUUAACACAUGCAAGUCGAACGGAAAGGCCCUGCUUUUGUGGGGUGCUCGAGUGGCGAACGGGUGAGUAACACGUGAGUAACCUGCCCUUGACUUUGGGAUAACUCCAGGAAACUGGGGCUAAUACCGGAUAGGAGCUCCUGCUGCAUGGUGGGGGUUGGAAAGUUUCGGCGGUUGGGGCUGGUCUCGCGGCUUAUCAGCCUGUUGGUGGGGUAGUGGCUUACCAAGGCUUUGACGGGUAGCCGGCCUGAGAGGGUGAACGGCCACAUGGGGCCUGCGAGAGGGCCCAGACGCCUACGGGAGGCAGAAGGGGGGAAUAUUGCACAAUGGGCGGAAGCCUGAUGCAGCAACGCCGCGUGCGGGAUGACGGCCUUCGGGUGGUAAACCGCUUUCGCCUGUGACGAAGAGUGAGUGACGGUAAUGGGUAAAGAAGCACCGGCUAACUACGUG
rnacentral:rRNA from 1 species